rnacentral:rRNA from 1 species
UACCUGGUUGAUCCUGCCAGUAGUCAUAUGCUUGUCUCAAAGACUAAGCCAUGCAUGUCUAAGUAUAAGCUUUAUACUGUGAAACUGCGAAUGGCUCAUUAAAUCAGUUAUAGUUUAUUUGAUGGUGCUUCCUACUCGGAUAACCGUAGGAAAACUAGAGCUAAUACGUGCGUAUAAUCCCGACCUCACGGAAGGGACGUAUUUAUUAGAUAAGAGGCCGACCGGGGCCUCCCCCGACCUUCGGUGAAUCAUGAUAACUUUACGAAUCGCAUGGCCUUGCGCCGGCGAUGUUUCAUUCAAAUUUCUGCCCUAUCAACUUUCGACGGUAGGGUAGUGGCCUACCGUGGUGGUAACGGGUGACGGAGGAUUAGGGUUCGAUUCCGGAGAGGGAGCCUGAGAAACGGCUACCACAUCCAAGGAAGGCAGCAGGCGCGCAAAUUACCCAAAUCCCAACUCGGGGAGGUAGUGACAAGAAAUAACGAUGCUCCGGCCAUCGGUCGGGUAAUCGGAAUGAGGACAAUUUAAAUCCCUUAUCGAGGAUCAAUUGGAGGGCAAGUCUGGUGCCAGCAGCCGCGGUAAUUCCAGCUCCAAUAGCGUAUAUUUAAGUUGCUGCGGUUAAAAAGCUCGUAGUCGGAUUUCGGGUGGUGCCUGCCGGUCCGCCUUUGGUGUGUACUGGUAGGCGCCACCUUUCUGCCGAGGACGGGUUCCUGGGCUUAGCUGUCUGGGCCCCGGAGUCGGCGAUGCCACUUUGAGUAAAUUAGGGUGUUUAAAGCAGGCUUAUGCUCUGUAUACACUAGCAUGGGAUGACA